UACGGAGGGGGCUAGCGUUGUUCGGAAUUACUGGGCGUAAAGCGCGCGUAGGCGGACCUGCAAGUCGGGGGUGAAAGCCCGAGGCUCAACCUCGGAACUGCCUUCGAUACUGCGGGUCUCGAGUCCGGGAGAGGUGAGUGGAACUGCGAGUGUAGAGGUGAAAUUCGUAGAUAUUCGCAAGAACACCAGUGGCGAAGGCGGCUCACUGGCCCGGUACUGACGCUGAGGUGCGAAAGCGUGGGGAGCAAACAGGG
rnacentral:rRNA from 1 species